UACGUAGGUGGCAAGCGUUGUCCGGAUUUAUUGGGUUUAAAGGGUGCGUAGGCGGCUUAUUAAGUCAGUGGUGAAAUACUCUAGCUCAACUAGAGGGGUGCCAUUGAUACUGAUGAGCUUGAGUACAGAUGAGGUAGGCGGAAUUGACGGUGUAGCGGUGAAAUGCUUAGAUAUGACAUAGAACACCAAUUGCGAAGGCAGCUUACUACAGGGAUAUUGACACUGAGGCACGAAGGCGUGGGGAUCAAACAGG
rnacentral:rRNA from 1 species